UAUUAAAAAUUUCUUCCAUUUCUAUUAUUAAAAACUGCCGUGGCUGACAAAUAAUCAAAUAGUUACACUUGGCGUGCCACAUGUACCUCAUUUUGACGUACAGGGACCAAUUUUUAACAGUGAAUGGAUGAAAUUUUGAACA
rfam:Gossypium arboreum cultivar AKA8401 contig_1885_9, whole genome shotgun sequence.